GACCCAUUAGCUCAGUUGGUCAAAGCGUCGUGCUAAUAACGUGAAGGUCGCGGGUUCGAUUCCCUCAUGGUCCA
rnacentral:tRNA from 1 species